rnacentral:lncRNA from 1 species
AUGGAGGCUGUGGCUGCAGAAGCAGAGAAGCCAGGUCCUUUAAAUGUACCACUGAGCCAGCAAGAAGGUGAAGGAAAAGCCAAAAUCAAAAAGCCAGGAAUUCCUGAAGGCUUGACCCUUCCCAGACCCUGCUCCUGUGACCCAGCCAAUUUUACAGAAUCAGCAUUGCCCAAGUUCAUCGAGCCUUGGCACAUCCAAGUGGUCUUUCAUGACUUCUUCAUUAUAGCACCUCAAAGUUGGUCACUCAUCACCAGGGAGAUGCAAAUGAAAACUACAAUGAGAUGUCACUCCACACCUGUCAGAAUGGCUGGAAUCAAAAACACAAGAAACAACAAUGUUGGUGAGGACGUGGAGGAAAAGGAACCUUCUUGUGCUAUUGUUGGGGGCACAGCCACAGUAGGACACAGUAUGGAGUUUCCCAAAAAAAUUAAAAAUAGAAUUACCCUACAACCAGUAAUCGCACUACUGGAUAUUUACCCCCCAAAACACAAAAACAACUAA